UACGUAGGGGGCAAGCGUUGUCCGGAAUCAUUGGGCGUAAAGCGCGCGUAGGCGGCCCGAUAAGUCCGCUGUGAAAGUCCGGGGCUCAACCCUGGAAAGCCGGUGGAUACUGUCGGGCUAGAGUCCGGAAGAGGCGAGUGGAAUUCCUGGUGUAGCGGUGGAAUGCGCAGAUAUCAGGAGGAACACCAAAGGCGAAGGCAGCUCGCUGGGACGGUACUGACGCUGAGGUGCGAAAGCGUGGGGAGCGAACAGG
rnacentral:rRNA from 1 species